GACGAACGCUGGCGGCGUGCUUAACACAUGCAAGUCGAACGGAAAGGCCCUGCUUUUGUGGGGUGCUCGAGUGGCGAACGGGUGAGUAACACGUGAGUAACCUGCCCUUGACUUUGGGAUAACUUCAGGAAACUGGGGCUAAUACCGGAUAGGAGCUCCUGCUGCAUGGUGGGGGUUGGAAAGUUUCGGCGGUUGGGGAUGGACUCGCGGCUUAUCAGCUUGUUGGUGGGGUAGUGGCUUACCAAGGCUUUGACGGGUAGCCGGCCUGAGAGGGUUACCGGCGACAAUGGGACUGAGAUACGGACCAGACUCCUACGGGAGGCAGCAGUGGGGAAUAUUGCACAAUGGGCGGAAGCCUGAUGCAGCAACGCCGCGUGCGGGAUGACGGCCUUCGGGUUGUAAACCGCUUUCGCCUGUGACGAAGCGUGAGUGACGGUAAUGGGUAAAGAAGCACCGGCUAACUACGUG
rnacentral:rRNA from 1 species